rnacentral:snoRNA from 1 species
CCUCUCGGGGACGAUGAGUUGAUGUCUCACAUCCUUGCCGGACUGGACAUGGAUUACCAACCGCUGAUUUAUGCCCUCGACGUCCGCACCGAGC